UUAAUGCACCUUAUGUUCUUCAUUUCCCUUUAUCCAUCAUCCAUCUUCUUCUUCUUCUCCUUCUUUUUCUUUUUUUUGAUCAAUGAGUUAAAGAUUGAUAAGUUAGCAUUGAUUUGGGAGGUUUAAUCUUCCUUGAUUCAAAUCUAAUUCAUCUUGAUCAAAUGAUCAAGUGAAUGGCUUUGCAUUAAGGAUAGAUUGCUUCUAAAUCAUGCAAAGGACUUAAACCAAUACAAGAU
rnacentral:lncRNA from 1 species